UCAUCUGAGCCUGGCUUCACUGUCUCAGCCCAGGCAGUGUUCUACUUCCCAGGGCUAUUGUCUGGCCUGGCAAAGGAUAAAAAUUUGAAUUCUGAG